GGGAUAAUCGGGAGAAAUCCCGUCUAAUACCGCGUAAUGCCGCGGGGCUGCAUGGCCCUGCGGCCAAAGGGAGCGAUUCCGGCAACGGAUGGGCAUGCGUGACAUUAGCUAGUUGGCGGGGCAACGGCCCACCAAGGCGACGAUGUCUAGGGGUUCUGAGAGGAAGGUCCCCCACACUGGUACUGAGACACGGACCAGACUCCUACGGGAGGCAGCAGUGAGGAAUAUUGGUCAAUGGGCGCGAGCCUGAACCAGCCAAGUCGCGUGAGGGAUGACGGCCCUACGGGUUGUAAACCUCUUUUGUCGGGGAGCAAAUUCCGCCACGUGUGGCGGAGUCGAGAGUACCCGAAGAAAAAGCAUCGGCUAACUCCGUGCCAGCAGCCGCGGUAAUACGGAGGAUGCGAGCGUUAUCCGGAUUUAUUGGGUUUAAAGGGUGCGUAGGCGGACUGUCAAGUCAGCGGUAAAAUACGGGGGCUCAACCUCCGCCCGCCGUUGAAACUGACGGUCUUGAGUGGGCGAGAAGUAUGCGGAAUGCGUGGUGUAGCGGUGAAAUGCAUAGAUAUCACGCAGAACUCCGAUUGCGAAGGCAGCAUACCGGCGCCCGACUGACGCUGAAGCACGAAAGCGUGGGUAUCGAACAGGAUUAGAUACCCUGGUAGUCCACGCAGUAAACGAUGAGUACUAGCUGUCCGGG
rnacentral:rRNA from 1 species